AAAAGACUCAGUCCUAACCUUACUGUUAGUUUUUGCUAAACACAUACAUGCAAGUAUCCGCGCCCCAGUGUGAAUGCCCCCAACCCCUUAACUUACUUAGACAGGAGGAGCAGGUAUCAGGCACACCCACCGCAGUAGCCCAAGACACCUUGCUUAGCCACGCCCCCACGGGUGCUCAGCAGUAGUUAACAUUAAGCAAUAAGUGCAAACUUGACUUAGUUAUAGCAACACUUAGGGCUGGUAAAUCUUGUGCCAGCCACCGCGGUUACACAAGAGGCCCAAAUUAACUGAAUAUACGGCGUAAAGAGUGGCUCCAUGUUAUCCAUGUGACUAAGGUGAAAAUGCAACUAGGCUGUCAUAAGCUAAAGACGCACCUAAAACCACCCUCAAAACGACCCUAGCCUGCAAAAAGGAUCAAUUAAAGCGCCACUAAAGCUAGGAUACAAACUGGGAUUAGAUACCCCACUAUGCCUAGCCCUAAAUCCUGAUACUUACCCCACUAAAGUAUCCGCCCGAGAACUACGAGCAUAAACGCUUAAAACUCUAAGGACUUGGCGGUGCCCCAGAUCCCCCUAGAGGAGCCUGUCCUAUAAUCGAUAACCCACGAUAUACCCGACCUCCCCUUGCCAAAACAGCCUACAUACCGCCGUCUCCAGUUCACCUCCCUGAGAGAGCAACAGUGAGCACAAUAGCUUUAUCCCGCUAACAAGACAGGUCAAGGUAUAGCUUAUGAGGAGGAAGAGAUGGGCUACAUUUUCUACAAUAGAAAAUCUCACGAAAGGGGGCUUGCAAGUUCCCCCAGAAGGAGGAUUUAGUAGUAAAGAGAGAUAAUAGAGCCCUCUUUAAACCGGCCCUGAGGCACGUACAUACCGCCCGUCACCCUCUUCACAAACCUUAACCUUUUAUAACUAAUACCCCUCCCCCAACUCAAAGAAGAGGUAAGUCGUAACAAGGUAAGUGUACCGGAAGGUGCACUUAGCUAACC
rnacentral:ncRNA from 1 species